rnacentral:rRNA from 1 species
CGUCGUGUCGUGAGAUUGGUUAGGGUUAACGUCCCGACAACGACGCGACCUAACCCUUACCUAGUUGCCAGCGGGUAAUGCCGGGCACUCUAAGGGGACCGCCCCGGAUAACGGGGAGGAAGGCGGGGAUGACGUCAAGUCAGCAUGGCCUUUAUGUCCAGGGCUACACACGUGCUACAAUGGGCGAUACAGAGGGAAGCAAGGCCGCAAGGUAGAGCUAAUCCCUAAAGUCGUCCUCAGUUCGGAUUGCAGGCUGCAACUCGCCUGCAUGAAGUCGGAAUCGCUAGUAAUCGCGGAUCAGCUACGCCGCGGUGAAUACGUUCUCGGGCCUU